GCUUAGUUAGUUUAGUAGGUAAAAACCGGUACUUCAUACGUACCUAACAGCAGUUCAAGACUGCUACUAAGUA
rnacentral:tRNA from 1 species